UUGGCCUUCCUCAGACAUGACCUUCUAAACAUACUGUGGAAUGAGAAAUGGUCAUAUUUGUACAAUUUGUACAAUUCCAUUUAGCAGAGGCUUUUAUCCAAAGCGACAUACAUCUGAGAGUAGAUGCAAGGAUCAAGUCAGGACAAAUCAACCUGGAUAAGUGCCAUAAAACAAGUGUGAUAAUAGGACGUUGGUGCCUACAGGCAGUGUGGGAGGUAAUGACAUUUUUUAAUAUUUUUAAAAAAAUUUUGCAGUCUGUCAUAUAACAUCAGUGCUUUUACAACAGAACUACUGUUCAGCCAAACAAGUCCCUGACUAAAGAAAGCUAAAACAUGUCUCAGGCCACAGAUGAAGAUGAUGAACACAUGACUAUGCUGCAGCUGUAACUGAAAUUUGAGGUCUGUAAAUGUGUAAAUGUGUGAUGGUCACACUCUCACCAAUUCUCAACAGGAAACAGCAAGUCAGGCAGAGUAACUAACAGUGCAGCAAAAAUUAAUGGUUUCUUUUGUCUUCAGUCUUCAGCCAGCUGAACCAACACCACAGACACGUACAGCUGAUCUUCAAGAUCUGCCCAGCACAACUAUGAGAUGGUGUUUUGUUCAGCCAGAAUAGUACAUAGUUUUUGCCCCAAACAUCUGUUUCUAUCUCCACCAAAUUGACAUAUAGGAUUAUUAUGUGGCAAUUUUACAUAGACAUGUUUCAAUUACUUCUGUGACUACACUUUAAUAAAUGAUUUUUUCAUGUAUAAUCCUAAAUAAUCUGUUAUCAAGAUAUAUUCUGUAGAAUUGUGUGCCUGAUUUUGCGACUCCUAAGUGAAUAUUAGGUGAAAAUAGUUUUCAUAUUUACUUACUCUAGGUAAAUAACACAUCAUCCAUCUGCUUACGUAAUUCCAAAUAGAGACAAUUAUUGGAUGCAUCACAAUGUCAAGUAGUUUUUUGUUGUUUUUUUUUUUUUGCUGUAACCAGGUAUAUGUACACAAUGCAUUUGAAAGGACAGAGGAUGGAGAGUGCUACUCUGCAAAUAUUUUGACCUAUAAUUCAAGUAAUCUUUUGUCAUUUUAAGUGUUUAAAGUAUUAAGAUGCAGGCUAUUAUGUAGGGUUCCUUACACACUUUGAGCUGCUUUGCAAAAUAGAAUAGAAUAGAAUAGAAUAGAAUAGAAUAGAAUAGAAUAGAAUAGAAUAGAAUAGAAUAGAAUAGAAUAGAAUAGAAUAGAAUAGAAUGUGCUUUGUUGUCAUUAUACAGUGUACAGCGAGAUUGGAGAGCUUCUCCUUUUCAGUGCAAACAUAGCAAAAGGUGCAAAAUAAAAGUCAUAAAAAUCUUAAACGUAGCCCAAACAGUCUCUAUUUACAAAUAUGCAAUAUAAAUGUCACAAACAUAGAGUGAAUAUUGAGGUAGUACAGAGUAGCAGCAGCAGAGACAGUGAUGUAUAUUGCACAUUUUACAUUAUAUUGUUGGCUGGGUUGUUACAUGUGAGAGUUCAGGGUGGUGAUGGCUCUCGAAAAGAAGCUGGUUUUUAGUGUGUUUGUCCUCGCUUUAAUGCAUCUGUAACGCCUUCCAGAAGGCAGCAGAUCAAAAAGCUGAGAACUGGGAUGCGGACUGUCUUUGAUGAUGUUCUGAGCUCUGCUGAGGUGGAGUAGAUGUCCAUGAGGGAGGGGAGAGGACAGCCAACAAUCCUCUGUGCUGCUUUGACUGUCCUCUGAAGCCUUACUCUGUCUGCCUCAGUGCAGCUCCCGUACCAGGUGGAAACACAGUACGUCAGUAGGCACUGUUCCCUCUAAACUGCGCGCGUGCGCAAUUGCGCACUGCUGACACGGUCUCCGCGCACAGAAAAUCUGCGCUGCGCACAAAAAAAAAAAAAUCCAACCUAAAUUGUAAAUAAAAUAAACACGUAACAAUUCAUUCUGUGCUAUUUUUCAGUGUGAGUCAGUGAGUGACCGGUGACUGGCUGCUGCAGCCAAUGAUGCGAUUCACAUACGUAUUUACCAUAGACUGUAUAUAAUGGUGUUUACGCAGCUAAUUAACGUCAGGCGUCCUUAUGUACAGCCAUCGUUGUUGUCAUAGAUAUGAAUGAGUAGAUAGGACACGCCCCUUUGAGCUGCGUGCUACAGCGAGGCUAAGCUAGUGGGGGAAAAGUUUCAGUGCAUUCCGUUGAUGUAGACGGCGUGAAAACGGAAACAAGUAUGCUGGCUCACUGUGCUGCAUACAGUUACACACUGCGUCCUGCGAUUGAGACAAGGAAACUUAGAAUGACUUUUCAUAGGUUUCCCAGAGACUAUGGGUUGAGGAGAAAUUGGAAGUUUGUCGGCUUAGACCUGGUGUCAUUCCAUCAGUGUUAAACUUCCCGGCUCAUCUUGGAAGAGUACGUGCCAGAAAGACCACGACCAAGCAGCCUUGAGAUCUUAGGCAGCAUCUCCCUGAGGUCCCUCCCUAUCUCCCCACACAUCCACCAACCACUGGAACACAUCUCCAAAGUUCUGCCGGGCCAGCUCAGCUUCCCCUCAGAAGUAGUUCCACCAGAUGAAGGAGCCUUUUGAGAGGCAGCUGGCAUCGUGAUUGGACUGUACUUUGGUCUGUUCCAAUCCAGCUUCACCUCCAGAGACGGCAGGCGGGACGAGUCAACGGAGGCCGGGUGGAUGAAGGCAUGCAGCUGAGUACAAUCCAGAAAACAACAGAGGAGGAGUGCAGCAGCCCAGGGCCAGAACAGAGUAUCAUGACCAAAGAACUACAGACUCUUCACAACCUGCUCAAACUCUUGGUACAGGACCUCACCACACGGGUCAAGAAGGUUUCCAUCUCAUUUCUACUCUGAAGCUCACCUUCUCCUGCUCAAACUGCUGACAAAUGUUUCUGCUGCUCUAAAGUCUGGUCUCCAGAACUUCCUAAAAACUCUCAAAGUCUCUUCUGCUGCAGGCUGCUUUGUAGAACUGUUCCAGAAAACCUCACUAAACCACAUGGAGGGGCCUCAAGAUAGUCGUCCAAAUGAAACCAUACAAAAACCAAACUACCACAACCCAAACGCUAAAGUCUCCUGCAGCCUACCAGAGAACCUCUGAGAACAGAGAAUCAGGACAGGAACUCUUACCUUCUGGACAACCAACGUUGGUUCUCAAACAAGAACACAGAAUGUGUCUGACCAAAAACCUCUGAAGACUCACUACAGCCAAGAUAAAGACACAACUCAGCUGCACCAAAUCCACUAAUCACUGCACACAUUAGCACCAUGUGCCAACUGUGGCUAAAGAACCUCAUUUACCAAGGCAACUAUCCAGUACAAAGCCCUAAAACACACCAAGAAACACAUUAAAGACGAUUUUACUGCUGGAAGCUGCAAGCCAACACCUAAAGACCAAACUAAAGCAAUGGAGCCAAACCCAGUUCAGUUGGUGAACAGAAGCAGAGGAAAUGUUUGACUGCAGCUAAAUAAAGCAGGAAGACACUGAGCUGCUCAGGUGUUCCUGAUAACACCAAGCAGCCACCUGGACAGCCAAUAGGAACACAGCUUACUGGAAGUCCAGAGGGCUGGGUUAGUGAAGGAAAUUUAAUUUAAAGUUGAAGCAGAAAGUUAAUAAAGAAAGUUGAAAACCACCUUCUGAUACCUGAAAUCUCUGAGUUUUCACACAAAGAACACCUGAACAUGUCAAACUGGUUCCAUAGUAGAACCAUCAUUGUAAAAACGUCAUAGUAUGGUGUGUUGCUCAAAAAACAUUAGGACCUGGCUGUCAGGGGACAAACAUGUAAGAAACAUGAGAACAGAGAGAACCCAACCAGUAGGUCACAGUUUAUCAUCCCCCAGUCAUCUCCUGAAGUCCAUAUGGUGAGAGACAUCAGUAUCUGGUUGUUAAUUUACCAGAGGAUGCUUAUAAUCAUGCUGAUGUGGUCUGUACUCUACAGUAUUUUAGUGACUCAAUAAAUGCCUCAGUUGUUUUUUUUUAAAUGCUUUUCAGUUUUUAAUAAACAUUUAAGAGCCUAUAUGUAAUCAAUAAAUGGCCUUUGCCUAUCUUAAGAAAAAUUCACUCAGAACUCUGAUAUGUUAACAGUACUAAAUAAAUCAAUAAAUACAUGCAUACACACAAAAAUAAGUUAAUACAUUAACUGUGUUAAGAUUUAGAUUUUUAAAAAAGUUGUUUAUGUUUUUGCAGAAUCCAGUAUUACUCACUGGUUGGUCAUUACAUUUUAUUAGUUUGAUUUCACUGUUUAAAAUGAUGCCACCUCUUUUCAGACAGAACCUGUGAUAAUAAAACAAUACAAAAUUUUUAGUUCCGUGUUAAUAAAGCACUUAAAGCUUUAAGUAUGGCUAAAUGCUUUUUUCAAAAUUAAAUAUAUCACUCCUUAGGUGGUAGUGGCCCCAAGUUCAGUAAAGUUGGAAAGAUAUUCACAGAUUCGGACUUCCAGCAUCAAUAACUCAUUAGAUAUAGGUUGUCAAAACAUAAACAGUGCCUCUUUCCCAUUGUUGCAAGGCAGACAAUGUGCUACAAGCCCAGUUUUAUCAAAAGUAGCUGUCUUUCAAGCUACAGGAAUAACAUUGGUGUCUAUGGAGUGAACAGGGUCCGUCUGCAAUUUGCAAAACCACUGCAACAGUAAAGAGAGACAAAUAUUCAAUAACUUCACUCUUAUACAUUGUAGUGUCACUAAAAUCACUGCAGCCUUCAACUGGCUCCUGUUGACAAAGUGUUUUAACAGAAAUGUAAAUGCUGUAAUUUGAUUCUUUUAAUGAACCAUGUAACUUGAAUGGAUGUGAUGCUGGUGUGACCACAGUGCACACGUCUGAUGUUGCUCACAGUGGUCCAAGGAACGCUCAGGGAGUUUGUGUGUUUGCUCAGACUCAGGAAAAAUUAGAGGGA